rnacentral:rRNA from 1 species
AGAGUUUGAUCCUGGCUCAGAACGAACGCUGGCGGCAGGCCUAACACAUGCAAGUCGAACGAUAAGCCACCUUCGGGUGGUGGACAGUGGCAGACGGGUGAGUAACGCGUGGGAACGUGCCUUUCGGUUCGGAAUAACCCAGGGAAACUUGGGCUAAUACCGGAUACGCCCUUCGGGGGAAAGAUUCAUUGCCGAAAGAUCGGCCCGCGUCGGAUUAGCUAGUUGGUGGGGUAAUGGCUCACCAAGGCGACGAUCCGUAGCUGGUCUGAGAGGAUGACCAGCCACACUGGGACUGAGACACGGCCCAGACUCCUACGGGAGGCAGCAGUGGGGAAUAUUGGACAAUGGGCGCAAGCCUGAUCCAGCCAUGCCGCGUGGGUGAAGAAGGCCUUAGGGUUGUAAACCCCUUUCAGCGGGGAAGAUAAUGACGGUACCCGCAGAAGAAGUCCCGGCUAACUUCGUGCCAGCAGCCGCGGUA